GAUGAACGCUGGCGGCGUGCCUAAUACAUGCAAGUCGAGCGAACAGAUGAGGAGCUUGCUCCUCUGACGUUAGCGGCGGACGGGUGAGUAACACGUGGAUAACCUACCUAUAAGACUGGGAUAACUUCGGGAAACCGGAGCUAAUACCGGAUAAUAUAUUGAACCGCAUGGUUCAAUAGUGAAAGACGGUUUUGCUGUCACUUAUAGAUGGAUCCGCGCCGCAUUAGCUAGUUGGUAAGGUAACGGCUUACCAAGGCAACGAUGCGUAGCCGACCUGAGAGGGUGAUCGGCCACACUGGAACUGAGACACGGUCCAGACUCCUACGGGAGGCAGCAGUAGGGAAUCUUCCGCAAAGGGCGAAAGCCUGACGGAGCAACGCCGCGUGAGUGAUGAAGGUCUUCGGAUCGUAAAACUCUGUUAUUGGGGAAGAACAAAUGUGUAAGUAACUAUGCACGUCUUGACGGUACCUAAUCAGAAAGCCACGGCUAACUACGUG
rnacentral:rRNA from 1 species